rnacentral:tRNA from 1 species
ACUGGCAUAGUUCAACUGGAUAGAGCAUCCGCCUUCUAAGCGGUGGGUUGCAGGUUCAAGUCCUGCUGCCAGUGCCA